AGUAUUUUUAGGUUCCUCUCCGAUGAACGCGUAUGGGCCUUGCCCGAAAAGACCAGCGUGAGCACCCUCGGCCCUGCUUGGAGUCCCGGGAAAGCGGGGCCUGCGUCCUUCCCAGCCACUUCACAGGCAGGUGUCCUAGUUGCUCCAAGAACAGAAAUAGCCAUUGUCUGCCUCACGGAGAGGAGGGAGGGGAGCCAGGGAAGCCGCCGCACGGCAUCGCCAGCUCCGUGCACAGGCAGAAACAAUGCCAUCUUCCCGAAAGGAAAUCGGCAAUAAAAACUCCUGCAGGACUUCCUAUUCAGAGUUUUUCCCAUUUGGACCCGAAAAGGGCGGCCCCCGCCCCUCCCAGCGCCAAGCCCACCACCACCGAGACGCUCCCACCACGUUCACAGGCUUCAGGAGAACUCGAAGAUUUUAUUACACCGCUGGUGGAGGAGGCAAAAUUCCAUUCCAAAUAUAAUGAUACUUUUGGAGUCUGAAAACCUGCGAACUUUUAAAAAUGAGGCGAAGCAGAUUGAACAGUCCUUCUGACGGAAGCGUAGACGCAGAUGUGCAAUUGAGAACUCCAGGACUUGGCCCGACAGAGCUUUUUAACGUGAUGCUAGUUGAUUGGAUGCUCCUUUGCCAUUGAGGGAAGCUUCAUAUUUUGUUUUUCUUUCUCUGUAAGUGGGCAAGUAGGGUAAGUCUGUAUGAACCCGUGUGAUUACUGCAAGAAAUUCUUUCCUUGCUAAGCGCCGUGUCUAGAGUGUGUGUAUCGCACUGGGCAGGGCUCUCU